CCCUAACGGGGCGGAGAAAACCCUUGUGAUUGUCACAGGGUUUGGCUUUGAAGAGUGCGGGGCUGAGCCCGGGCCCGGAGUAAUGGAGAUUCCCAGGCUGUUUUUCCUGCGUCCAGUGCGGUCUUCGGGCUGCUCGCAUUCCUCACGAUAUAUGAUAUUCGCAGGGUGGAGGGGAAACAAAUGAAAAGUUCAGGCCAUCGAAAAGGGGCAGAAUCCGUCGCCACUUUCAGCGGCAUUUCACUCGCUGAAUCACCAGCAGGUUUAACGAUUCCUGCCUCACAGAAUACUGCUUCAGUGGCAUGAUGGUGCUAAUUCUAGUAACAACAAUUGAAGUCUGCCUGCCACUCUGCUAGGUGUUUUCUAUGGAUUAUUUCAUUGAAUCCUUCCUUAUGCCAACUCUGUGAGACUGGCUCAGCAUGAGCUGAAAAUCACUGAGCAACACCAUGC